rnacentral:rRNA from 1 species
AGCGAACGCUGGCGGCAGGCCUAACACAUGCAAGUCGAACGGAUCCUUCGGGAUUAGUGGCGGACGGGUGAGUAUCACGUGGGAACGUGCCCUUUGGUUCGGAACAACUCAGGGAAACUUGAGCUAAUACCGGAUGUGCCCUUCGGGGGAAAGAUUUAUCGCCAUUGGAGCGGCCCGCGUCUGAUUAGCUAGUUGGUGAGGUAAAGGCUCACCAAGGCGACGAUCAGUAGCUGGUCUGAGAGGAUGAUCAGCCACAUUGGGACUGAGACACGGCCCAAACUCCUACGGGAGGCAGCAGAGGGGAAUCUUGCGCAAUGGGCGAAAGCCUGACGCAGCCAUGCCGCGUGAAUGAUGAAGGUCUUAGGAUUGUAAAAUUCUUUCACCGGGGACGAUAAUGACGGUACCCGGAGAAGAAGCCCCGGCUAUCUUCGUGCCAGCAGCCGCGGUAA